GAUGAACGCUGGCGGCGUGCCUAAUACAUGCAAGUCGAGCGAACAGACGAGGAGCUUGCUCCUCUGACGUUAGCGGCGGACGGGUGAGUAACACGUGGAUAACCUACCUAUAAGACUGGGAUAACUUCGGGAAACCGGAGCUAAUACCGGAUAAUAUAUUGAACCGCAUGGUUCAAUAGUGAAAGACGGUUUUGCUGUCACUUAUAGAUGGAUCCGCGCCGCAUUAGCUAGUUGGUAAGGUAACGGCUUAUCAAGGCAACGAUGCGUAUCCGACCUGAGAGGGUGAUCGGCCACACUGGAACUGAGACACGGUCCUGACUCCUACGGGAGGCAGCAGUAGGGAAUGUUCCGCAAUGGGCGAAAGCUUGGCGGAGCAACGCCGCGUGAGUGAUGACGGUCUUCGGAUCGUAAAACUCUGUUAUUAGGGAAGAACAAAUGUGUAAUUAACUAUGCACGUCUUGACGGUACCUAAUCAGAAAGCCACGGCUAACUACGUG
rnacentral:rRNA from 1 species